GGGUUGUGAGGUUAAGCGACUAAGCGUACACGGUGGAUGCCCUGGCAGUCAGAGGCGAUGAAGGACGUGCUAAUCUGCGAUAAGCGUCGGUAAGGUGAUAUGAACCGUUAUAACCGGCGAUUUCCGAAUGGGGAAACCCAGUGUGUUUCGACACACUAUCAUUAACUGAAUCCAUAGGUUAAUGAGGCGAACCGGGGGAACUGAAACAUCUAAGUACCCCGAGGAAAAGAAAUCAACCGAGAUUCCCCCAGUAGCGGCGAGCGAACGGGGAGGAGCCCAGAGCCUGAAUCAGUGUGUGUGUUAGUGGAAGCGUCUGGAAAGGCGCGCGAUACAGGGUGACAGCCCCGUACACAAAAAUGCACAUGCUGUGAGCUCGAUGAGUAGGGCGGGACACGUGGUAUCCUGUCUGAAUAUGGGGGGACCAUCCUCCAAGGCUAAAUACUCCUGACUGACCGAUAGUGAACCAGUACCGUGAGGGAAAGGCGAAAAGAACCCCGGCGAGGGGAGUGAAAAAGAACCUGAAACCGUGUACGUACAAGCAGUGGGAGCACGCUUAGGCGUGUGACUGCGUACCUUUUGUAUAAUGGGUCAGCGACUUAUAUUCUGUAGCAAGGUUAACCGAAUAGGGGAGCCGAAGGGAAACCGAGUCUUAACUGGGCGUUAAGUUGCAGGGUAUAGACCCGAAACCCGGUGAUCUAGCCAUGGGCAGGUUGAAGGUUGGGUAACACUAACUGGAGGACCGAACCGACUAAUGUUGAAAAAUUAGCGGAUGACUUGUGGCUGGGGGUGAAAGGCCAAUCAAACCGGGAGAUAGCUGGUUCUCCCCGAAAGCUAUUUAGGUAGCGCCUCGUGAAUUCAUCUCCGGGGGUAGAGCACUGUUUCGGCAAGGGGGUCAUCCCGACUUACCAACCCGAUGCAAACUGCGAAUACCGGAGAAUGUUAUCACGGGAGACACACGGCGGGUGCUAACGUCCGUCGUGAAGAGGGAAACAACCCAGACCGCCAGCUAAGGUCCCAAAGUCAUGGUUAAGUGGGAAACGAUGUGGGAAGGCCCAGACAGCCAGGAUGUUGGCUUAGAAGCAGCCAUCAUUUAAAGAAAGCGUAAUAGCUCACUGGUCGAGUCGGCCUGCGCGGAAGAUGUAACGGGGCUAAACCAUGCACCGAAGCUGCGGCAGCGACGCUUAUGCGUUGUUGGGUAGGGGAGCGUUCUGUAAGCCUGUGAAGGUGUGCUGUGAGGCAUGCUGGAGGUAUCAGAAGUGCGAAUGCUGACAUAAGUAACGAUAAAGCGGGUGAAAAGCCCGCUCGCCGGAAGACCAAGGGUUCCUGUCCAACGUUAAUCGGGGCAGGGUGAGUCGACCCCUAAGGCGAGGCCGAAAGGCGUAGUCGAUGGGAAACAGGUUAAUAUUCCUGUACUUGGUGUUACUGCGAAGGGGGGACGGAGAAGGCUAUGUUGGCCGGGCGACGGUUGUCCCGGUUUAAGCGUGUAGGCUGGUUUUCCAGGCAAAUCCGGAAAAUCAAGGCUGAGGCG
rnacentral:rRNA from 1 species